UACGUAGGGUGCAAGCGUUGUCCGGAAUUAUUGGGCGUAAAGAGCUCGUAGGCGGUUUGUCGCGUCUGCUGUGAAAUCCCAGGGCUUAACCCUGGGCCUGCAGUGGGUACGGGCAAACUAGAGUGCGGUAGGGGAGAUCGGAAUUCCUGGUGUAGCGGUGAAAUGCGCAGAUAUCAGGAAGAACACCCGUGGCGAAGGCGGCUCUCUGGGACGGUACUGACGCUGAGACGCGAAAGCGUGGGGAGCGAACAGG
rnacentral:rRNA from 1 species